rnacentral:rRNA from 1 species
CGGGGUGCACCAGGCGCGAAAACUCUACAAUGCAGGCAACUGCGAUAGGGGAACAUCGAGUGAUACUCAUCUUGGGUGUCUGUCCUCCCGUCUAAAAAACGGGAGUUAGCAAGGGCCGGGCAAGACCGGUGCCAGCCGCCGCGGUAAUACCGGCGGCUCGAGUGGUGGCCGAUAUUAUUGAGUCUAAAGGGUCCGUAGCCGGCUUUGCAAGUCUUUUGGGAAAUCCAGCGGCUUAACCGUUGGUCGUCCGGGAGAUACUACAUUGCUUGGGACUGGGAGAGGUAGGAGGUACUCAGGGGGUAGGAGUGAAAUCCUGUAAUCCUUUGGGGACCACCGGUGGCGAAGGCGUCCUACCAGAACAGGUCCGACGGUGAGGGACGAAAGCUAGGGGCACGAACCGGAUUAGAUACCCGGGUAGUCCUAGCCGUAAACGAUGCUCGCUAGGUGUCACAACAAUCGUGAAUUGUUGUGGUGCCGUAGGGAAGCCGUGAAGCGAGCCACUUGGGAAGUACGACCGCAAGGUUGAAACUUAAAGGAAUUGGCGGGGGAGCACAGCCAGGAAUGA